GUUGAUAGUUUCUUUUGCUGUGCAGAAGCUCUCUAGUUUAAUUAGGUCACACUUGUCAAUUUUGGUUUUGUUGCAAUUGCUUUUGAGGACCUAGUUGUGAAUUCUUUCCCAAGGCCAAUGUCCAGAAUGGUGUUUUCUAGGUUUUCUUCUAGGAUUCUUAUAGUUUGAGGUUUUACUUUUAAAUCCUUAAUCAAUCUUGAGUUAAUUUUUGUUUACGGUGAAAGGUAGGGGUCCAGUUUUAUUCUUCUGCAUAUGGCUAGCCAUAUAAACAAAAAUUAAAUCCACC
rnacentral:lncRNA from 1 species